AAUGUAUUUUCUCCGUCUAGAAAUAAGUGACUCGGAUUUAUCUAGAUUCGCAUGUAUCUAUGCACUAAAACACGUCUAGAUAUAUACAAAUCUAGACAAAUUGGUUUCACUUGUUUCUGGACGGACGGAAUACAAU
rfam:Brachypodium distachyon strain Bd21 chromosome 1, whole genome shotgun sequence.